UACGUAGGGGGCAAGCGUUAUCCGGAUUUACUGGGUGUAAAGGGAGCGUAGACGGCAAGGCAAGUCCGAUGUGAAAACCCGCGGCUCAACUGCGGGAUUGCAUUGGAAACUGUUUAGCUCGAGUACUGGAGGGGUAAGCGGAAUUCCUAGUGUAGCGGUGAAAUGCGUAGAUAUUAGGAGGAACACCGGCGGCGAAGGCGGCUUACUGGACAGUAACUGACGUUGAGGCUCGAAAGCGUGGGGAG
rnacentral:rRNA from 1 species